UACGAAGGGGGCUAGCGUUGCUCGGAAUUACUGGGCGUAAAGGGUGCGUAGGCGGGUCUUUAAGUCGGUGGUGAAAUCCUGGAGCUCAACUCCAGAACUGCCUUCGAUACUGGGAGUCUCGAGUCCGAGAGAGGUGAGUGGAACUGCGAGUGUAGAGGUGAAAUUCGUAGAUAUUCGCAAGAACACCAGUGGCGAAGGCGGCUCACUGGCUCGGUACUGACGCUGAGGUGCGAAAGCGUGGGGAGCAAACAGG
rnacentral:rRNA from 1 species